CACGGAGGAGGCAAGCGUUAUCCGGAAUUAUUGGGCGUAAAGCGUCCGUAGGUGGUUUAGUAAGUCUGCUGUUAAAGCGCGGGGCUUAACUCCGUAUCGGCAGUGGAAACUACUAGACUAGAGUGUGGUAGGGGUAGAGGGAAUUCCCAGUGUAGCGGUGAAAUGCGUAGAUAUUGGGAAGAACACCGGUGGCGAAGGCGCUCUACUGGGCCAUAACUGACACUGAUGGACGAAAGCUAGGGGAGCGAAAGGG
rnacentral:rRNA from 1 species